UACAAGUUACGGCCUGGCACCCCUAGCCGUAUUGCACCAACACUUGCAGACUUGUCAUACGAAGCAUUCUUUCUGAAAUAAUAAAGCAGUCUAGUUUCAUCCUUCAACCAGUGCAGUGCUGAAGUCAAUUAUCCGAACCUCCCCACGGGCCGGGAAGCAGCCAACAUGGCCCGCUUCCCGGGAACCCCGUACAUAACUGGCGCAGUCGGUCGUCUCGGUGGAUUACCGAGACUUAAGAGAAUCAGGAUGAUAAUCACGAGCCGAAACCGAGGACUGGCAGGCAAACAGCAUCGAAAAAAAAAAUCAAUAGCAUCUUCAUUCCUUCCUUUAUUUGAUAUUUCUAACGCUUUUUACUUUUAGACUUCCACCAUAUUCACUCAACACCCGCUUGGUAACCACGUCUAGGGAAAGCAGCAGACGUGCAAAACAACCAGGCUAAUUUCUCCCCAAUGAACCUAACCAGCGUUGGAGAGGUAGUAAUGGAUAUGAAGAAUGAGUUGUAAUUGUAAAAUUUGUAAUCAUUGUGGCGUUAACGAAAAGAACAAAAAAAAAAAGGGUUUUAUGCCGUGAUUGAGGAGAGAGCAGACAUAGCUCAACCUCAACCCAAGUGCUUUUGUCCCUUCCAAAAGCCUUAACCUGCGAAAAUUCUGAUGGAUGCUACUAAGAAACUGUACACCGAAUAUCGCUGUUAGAAUUAAGUUUGGUAGGACAAGUUAGCAAGAAAUCGUUUAAAUCAAACCAGAAAAUUCUCAUAAUUCUUAUGAGCCUGAGCCGCAUUAACCAAAUGCUAGGAAUGUGAUAUCCUUGAUACGUCAGGAAUCCUUCCUGUUGCCAUCCCGGGGCUCCAGACAACUAGAUUUGUGAGGCCCUCGACACGUCAGGACUCCGUCUAGCCUGGAACAGUCAUUGGGAAUGUGAUGUCCUCGAUACGUCAGGCAUCCGCCCUUGGACGAACUCCGCAGCAACUCGAGCACAUCAGUGGAACUCAGAAAAAAAAAAAAAACUAAAACAGUUUUUUAAAGUCGAAUCGAGACGAUUCGAGUCUAACGAUGGGGUAGUUACGGCCUGGCACCCCUAGCCGUAUUGCACCAACACUUGCAGACUUGUCAUACGAAGCAUUCUUUCUGAAAUAAUAAAGCAGUCUAGUUUCAUCCUUCAA